AUUAAUUUGAGUUUUAAAGUGAGUAGUUCAUGUC
rnacentral:misc_RNA from 1 species